rnacentral:rRNA from 1 species
GGGGAAUGGGCGGGGUGCUAUACAUGCAAGUCGAGCGGACAGAUGGGAGCUUGCUCCCUGAUGUUAGCGGCGGACGGGUGAGUAACACGUGGGUAACCUGCCUGUAAGACUGGGAUAACUCCGGGAAACCGGGGCUAAUACCGGAUGGUUGUUUGAACCGCAUGGUUCAAACAUAAAAGGUGGCUUCGGCUACCACUUACAGAUGGACCCGCGGCGCAUUAGCUAGUUGGUGAGGUAACGGCUCACCAAGGCAACGAUGCGUAGCCGACCUGAGAGGGUGAUCGGCCACACUGGGACUGAGACACGGCCCAGACUCCUACGGGAGGCAGCAGUAGGGAAUCUUCCGCAAUGGACGAAAGUCUGACGGAGCAACGCCGCGUGAGUGAUGAAGGUUUUCGGAUCGUAAAGCUCUGUUGUUAGGGAAGAACAAGUACCGUUCGAAUAGGGCGGUACCUUGACGGUACCUAACCAGAAAGCCACGGCUAACUACGUGCCAGCAGCCGCGGUAAUACGUAGGUGGCAAGCGUUGUCCGGAAUUAUUGGGCGUAAAGGGCUCGCAGGCGGUUUCUUAAGUCUGAUGUGAAAGCCCCCGGCUCAACCGGGGAGGGUCAUUGGAAACUGGGGAACUUGAGUGCAGAAGAGGAGAGUGGAAUUCCACGUGUAGCGGUGAAAUGCGUAGAGAUGUGGAGGAACACCAGUGGCGAAGGCGACUCUCUGGUCUGUAACUGACGCUGAGGAGCGAAAGCGUGGGGAGCGAACAGGAUUAGAUACCCUGGUAGUCCACGCCGUAAACGAUGAGU